rnacentral:lncRNA from 1 species
AUGUUGAAAAUAGAAGUACAAAAGGGGUCGAACAUUAAACUGUACGUGUAAUUUAUUGUUAGAAAUUUAGUGAAAAUAUAGGGAUUAUCUGGACUUAUAAGUUAGGCGGUGUAGAUUUUAUAAUCAUGAAAUAAGAUGGGGACCAUUGUCUUUUCCAUUAUUGUAAUUGAAUUACUUUUUUUGUAGGUAAUUUUAAUUUUUUUUUAUUUAAGCUUUCUUUAUUAUAUAUUGGGUCUUGAUAAAUUAUGUUUUUUGAUGGUCAGUUUAAUUUACUACUCUUUUUGUCCCUCUUUUUUUUAUUAAGGGACUACUACCAAUUAUUAAUUAUCUCUUUCUAUUUUUCUUAAUCAUUAUUUGCUUAAUCUAUUGCUACUAAAAUUUCAUGGAGGUAACUCUAUUUCUCAUUAGCUUCUAAUGGCUUUUUCUCCACAUUUUUACCAUUUAUGUUUAGCAUAAUAGGUCUUGCUAAUAUUCUUAAUACAGAUAGUAAAACUUAUUAGCCAACUAGUAAAUUUUCCCAUUCAAUACUCUUUCGACUAAAUGUUCCCUUUUUUCUCUUCAUCCUUCGUAUUGGAAGAAUAGACAAAAAAGUUGAUGUUAUUCAACCUAAGACCUAUUUAAAUGUAGCAAUAAAAAUGAAAAUUUUUCUAUUGGAUAAUUACAGUAGUAUCACAGAAUUGAAGUCCUUAAAACAUUUCAACAAUAAAUUGUUACAUGAAUAAGAUAACCUUCGAUUGAGAAAAAUACUAUUUGGUUGAAAUAAAUACUUGAAACUUUUAGUAGAAUUGGUAUCAUGUACUAAUAUCCAGAAAAGCAAAACAACUGCACAUCAUCAGUUACUCGAUAAUGCAAUAGUAAUUAUGAACUGAUAAAAAAAAAUCUUGACAUCCUAGAGCCAAGUUAAGGGAAAAAUGAACUUCUUAAUCAAAAUGAUCAAUCUUCAAGUCAAUAGCAUGCUAAAAGGUAAGGUAGCACAUAAUUUCUAUAAAAUAUCAUGUUUCAAUUUUGUUGAUAAUUGUCUCUUUUAUUGUGCUUUUUUCUUGAACAAAUAAAGGCUUUCGAUUACUGUUGAACAUUUAAUGUAUAUAUUUAUCAAUUGUCUCUGUAGUAUAAAUAUUAUGUCAAACAGGGUUGAUCUACCACACCAUUUCUUUACAAUUAUUGCAAGUUCAUUGGGCCAUAACGAUCGUCUGGUGAGUUCUAAAAUGAUCUCUUUGUUAGCAUUUAUUUAUUGGGCCAUAAUAUUCGUUUGGUGAGUUCUAAAACUAAAUAUAAAGUAAAUAAUAUUCCUUAUAAGACUUAUAUUUUUUUAUAGUCGACACCGAGAACUUUUGUACAACGCUUGGGACACGAUCUUACUCAUGCAGUACGUUUGAUUGGUUAUGAUGACAUUAUCCGUAGCAUACAACUCGAAAGAGUUGAUGAUAACAUAUAUCUUGCUGCUGGACGGCCACAGUUUUUUAACCACCAUAAUUUGCAAAAUGGUUAUGUUAUUGUCUUUGAAUACCAAGGAAAUUCUACUUUCGAUGUUUCGAUAUUUGACCAUUCAAGCGUAGAAGUGACGUAUUAGUCUGAGGGAUUUGAGGUAGAGCUUUCACAUAGUGGUAAUCCUAUUUUCCGAGUAAUAUUAGAGGCUGCUCGCGAUGGUUAUAGAAUAAUUGUGAGCUCCUCUUUCACUUGAAUCUCUUUUAUCUUUAUCUUUCUCAAAUUACACGUAUGAACAAUUUUCAUAUUUGUUUUUCUCAUCUAAUUUGAAAUUUCACGACUUAUAGAUUUGUCAUUCUAUUUUGUAGUAUGUACCUAGAGCCUUCGCUCGAUUGUAUCUACCAAAAUUUGUACAGAGUGUUCAAAUCCAUGAUAGUUCACAUUAUAAUUGGUUAGUGCAAACGAAUCUAAGAACCAAUGGUUAUGUAUGACAUUUCACCGUAGAUUGGGCAGAUUAUGUUAGGGAGAAACGGUUUCAAAUACGUGAAACAUGUGUAUUUGAACUUAUAGACGAUGAAAUCCCAAUGUUCGUGGUUUACAAAGUGUGUCGCACUGAUGGGACUAUUACAUAAAUUGUACAUCUUCAUUCGUAGCUUUCACGUUUGCUUAUUAUGGAACAUCUGUUAUGUUCUCUUAUGCAUGAACACUAUAUAACUAGAUCCAUUGGGAUUUUGACUUGUAAUUUGCUUAUGUUCUUCUUAUUUCAAGAUCGCAUCCAAUUUGAAGAUUCUGUUCAUUUUGAAUAGGUUGUAACAGAAAUUUGAUUUAAUUACAUAUAAUUAACCUAUAUGUUGAUGUCCUACAUUUGGACUUCAUGCAAUGCUACAUCAUCGUCAUUUGGAGUUUGACAACCUUCUAGCUAAAAUUAUUUCAAGUAAGUAAACAAUUUUAUGAUUUGUGAUUUUAUAAACAAUAUACAAAAUUAUUUAUUCCCACUCUUAGUGUCUCCACUUUUUUUGCAGGUACAUUUAGAGAGUCAAAUAUUGGCAAUAGUGUUUGAGCCAUUUCCAAAGCAUUUAUCACUAAGUUUAGAAAGAACUCUUCUAAAAGUCUACCAUAAUUUAAAGGAGCAAUCAAAUAUCUUCACGAAAACUUCUCUUUUGUUUAUAGUUACAAAAUGAACAAGAUAUAGCUCAAACCAACAAUGACUUUUCUGUUAAAAUAUUUGAUUGAUCUUUUAAAUUAUAUUUUGCUUUUGGGAGACUUUUUCUAAUUUAGUGAUGAUUACUUUGGAAGAGGUGUAAACUCUAUAUUUCAACAUGAUAUUACAUUGAGGUGAUUCUUUAACUAACAUUUAUUAAAUGACAUUUUUUUCCAUGGUGUCAUUUGCUACUUUUGUGUUCUAUUUUAGAAUGGACUUCAAAAGGACAAUUUAAUCGACCCUAAUUACCGGUCAAUACCUGCCUAGUCG